rnacentral:tRNA from 1 species
GCAUUUAUAGCUUAAUUGGAAAAAGCCUUGGAUUUCGGUCCCAAAAAUGUAGGUUCAAGUCCUACUAAAUGUA